AGAAGAGGAAGCAUCAUGAAGAGGCUAGCAGGCGCUGUGCUGGGGCUUUUGUUUGCCCAGGUUUGCUGUGUGCGAGGGGCCGAUGUGGAGCAGAGUCCCCCAGCUCUGAGUCUCCAGGAGGGAGCCAGCUACACGCUUCGGUGUAAUUUUUCCACUUUCCCACAGAUUGUGAAUUGGUAUCUUCAGAACCCUGGGGGCCACCUCAUACAGCUGUUUUACAUUCCUUCAGGGACAAAGCAGGAAGGAAGAUUAAAUGCCACGACAGUCCCUACAGAACGCCGCAGCUCACUGCACAUUUCCUCUUCGCGGACCACAGACUCGGGCACUUACUUCUGUGCUGCGCAGCGCGGUGCUCCCCAGGCACCUGCGGCCUCUACACGAACCCUCCCGGGGCUCAGCCCCUCCUCCAGCCUCAGUCACACCGUGGGCCCCACAGGGCAUUUGCAGUGCUUAAUGUUACUCACCUACAUCAGGGCAGUUUUACCCACAGAUACUUUUUGGCCCUACAGAUUACGGAGUUUGGUCUUUAUCUUCCCUUCUCAACAUGUAUCUCCUUCUGCGCUAGAAACUUCUGACUGGGAACUAGCAAAGUAGUUGACAGGAAGACAGAAUUAAAAUAAAUAUUUAACCACAGCUUCCCAGGUGGCUCAGUGGUAAAGAAUUUGCCAACCAAUGGAGGAGAUGCAGAAGACAUGGGUUUGAUCCCUGGGUUGGCAAGAUCCUCUGGAGUAGGAAAUGAUAAUCCACUCCAGUGUUCUUGGGAAACACUGGGAAAUCUCAUGGACAGAGGAGGCUGGCGGGCUCCAGUCCAUGGGGUCUCAAAGAGUUGGACUGAUUGAGUGACUAAGUACACAUGCUGAACUCAAAAAUGUUAAAAACUGAAAGGAAUUAAAUGAAAUCACUCCAAUAAAGAUAUUAUCCAGUUUGUGAGAGGGUGGGGCCUACUUAAAGAAUUAAAGCAGAUAUGAACUUAGAGUUCUAGCUGGCUGAGAAGAGUAGAAAAGGAACUUGAGUUGUCACUGAGCACUGAUGCCAGAAACAAUGAACAAGAUACCGGGAGCAUCAUUUUGAUUCUGUGGCUUCAACUAGGCUAUGACUUGUGAGGAGAAAAUCUAGGAAAUCUCAUCAAUUAGGCGGACUGAGAAAACUGGAUUACGAACAAGCUCAUACAGAUAGAAACUCAAAGAAAUAGGUGUCUGUGGAUCUAACAACUUUUUAUCUCUUUAAGUAGGGGUGAGUGGACAACAGAAGGAAAAAAGUGAUCAAGAGCAGGUGAAACAGAGCCCUCAAUCUUUGACAGUCCAGGAAGGUGAGAUUUAAAUUCUGAACUGAAGUUAUGAGAAGGGUGCGUUUGACUAUCUCCUGUGGUACUGGCAAUAUUCUGGUAAAGCCCCUGCAUUCUUGAUAGCCGUAAGUUCAGUUAUGAAUGACAUGGAAGAUGAAAGUUUCAGUUUCCCUCAAUAAGAGUGCCAAACAGAUCUUAUUGUACAUUGCAACU